UUGAUAAUCGUUGAACCUGGGUGAUGGGUUCACAGAGAAUCAUGUUUGAAAAUUUCCUUAAUAAAAAGUUACAAAAUAUUCUUUGCGGUGACAGGCAGUGGAUAUACAGUAAGACUAUUGGUAAAAUACAAUGAGUUUUGUCAUUCUGGUUGGUUUCUUCAGGAUUUACAUACUAAUAUUCAAUUCUGUAAUUUUAGGCAUUAGCUAGAGAAGACAUUGAUGAAGCUGUACAUGCAAUAUUAUUUAGAGAAAAUUACGUUGCGAAGGUAAGAGUUGGCUACGGACUGGAUUCUAGGUAAGCAAGAGUUGUGCAUGGCCAAGAGGAUGUUACUGUGUCACAGAGAUUCAUUUUGCUGGGAGAAGGAGCCUCCUCUGAUUCCUUUAUUUAUACAUCAUAGAUCUGAGAUUGCACCACCUCCUUGCAGGAUCACUAACAGGUCAGGAUUCCUAGAUCUGCCCGUAAGGGAUCCAAGAGAUUGUUCUGCUUCCCCUCUUUGUUCUGGUACUGAAUAGAAAUUCUUUCUGACUCAAACUUAUCUUUCUCAUAUAUUCCCACAUCACAAUGGGGCUAUGUUAAACCACCAGAAAUAGUAUUUAAGGGUAAUGACCAAUUAGUACUGAGAGUUACUAUGAAAUAAAUAAACUUAAAGGAGCUUUUUUUCCCCUUCUCUUUCUUUCUUUUUUUUUUUUUUGAGUAUGAGGGGGGAGGGGCAAAGAGAAAGGGAGAUAAUUUUUUUAAGAUUUAUUUAUUUUUGAGAGAGAGAGAGUGUGAGUGGGAGGGGGAAGGGCAGAGGGAGAGAAUCUCAAGCAGACUCCCCACUGAACUUGGAGCCUGAUGCAGGGCUGGAUCUCAGGACCCUAAAAUCAUGACCUGAGCUGAAAUCAAGAGUUGAACACUUAACCAACUAAGCUGCCUAGGCACCCCAAUAAACUUAAAGGAGUUUAAUUUUAAAGAUUGAUUGAUUUAUUUCAGAGAGAGAGUGAAUGGGGGGAGGGUAGUAGGAGAGAAUCUUUUUUUUUUUUUUAAAUGUCCUUUCAGUCUUUUUUUUUUUUUUAAAGAUUUUAUUUAUUUAUUUGAGACAGAGAGAAUGAGAUACAGAGAGCAUGAGAGGGAGGAGGGUCAGAGGGAGAAGCAGACUCCCUGCCAAGCAGGGACUCGAUCCCGGGACUCCAGGAUCAUGACCUGAGCCGAUGCGGGACUCGAUCCCGGGACUCCAGGAUCAUGACCUGAGCCGAAGGCAGUCGCUUAACCAACUGAGCCACCCAGGCGCCCUAUAGGAGAGAAUCUUCAAGCAGACUCCCCACAGAGCCCAACAAGGGGCUCCAUCUCAGGACCCAUGAGAUCAGGAUCUGAGCUGAAACCAAGAGCCAGAUGCUUAACCCACUGAGCCACCCAGGUGCCCCAAAGGAGUUUUAAUUUUAAUGAGAGAGAUUGAAACUUAGUGUUAAAAUGGUACUUUAAUGUUUGUAUUAUAAUUUAUAAAGGAAGUUCACAUAUAGUCUCGUUUGAGCAUCGAAAAGAGGUAGGUAGGAUUGGCCUCCUAUAGAUUCAGAGAGAGGUGCUUCAGCAAGUCUAGCGUACUCUACCAAUUUUGUCACAGACUUUACUGAGGAUGAAGCCUGGGGACAUGCCAUGGGUAACAGGAAAGCUUUGAAAUCCCUAAAAAGAAGCAAGAGUUUCAUGAGUAAGGAAUGGUUUGGCUGUGAUUUAACCUGAAGGCACACUUCUGGUUUAGAACUUUCCCUGGCUUCCUCCUGCUCAAUGCUCUCAGGUUCUCUUCCUGAACUUGAUUAUGUUCUUCAGUUAUCUCAUGCUAGAACCUUGCAACCCAAAUACGUUGAGAGCUUAGGAGUGGGAGUGAGUGUUUUCCCCCCUUGUUCAAAUGACAGUAAGUGAAAAACUUCUUAAUAAUUUGUUUUCCUUGUUUGUAUCAUUUCAUUAGAGAUUGGAUACAUAUUUUCAGCAUCUGGAUAUUUCUAAGGAAAGAAGAAAAGAGAUGUUACAUAAAAAAUGGAUUGAAAAUGUUGCAGAGCCUCUUCAGCAGAGAAUUACAGACAAAGUAAUUUCAUACAGAGGGUUGGAAAAAAUGAAACCAGAGAAUUUUGAACAACACACCAAUAAAAGGGAAAUUGUAUUUGGAGACCUUUCUGAUCCUGAAGUAUGCAAUCCUUUUUAUAUGGCAAAAACGGACCCAAAUUAUGGAAAGGUAAGUAAGAUUCAUUCAUUCAUUCAUUCAUUCUUGGAAGCUCUGGGGUUGUGGGAAAACCUAGUCAUUUUAGAAGCCUUGUAAUUACUCUGUAUUCAUUAAAAAAUCUACAGAAGCAUUUCCUCUGAGUUUUAGAACAGGAACCUACAGUAAUUUCACCCACUGGGGAAUAUACAUGUGUGUGUUCCUUCACUCCCAUUCGGCAAACUGGAAGCCCAGGAGGGAGAGGAAGACAUGGACAGCGAGUGCAGUGGGGUGUGACAGGUGUCACAGUGCGCGGGCACUGGCCCAAGAGGCAGAACUCCUUUCUGUGGAAAGUGGAAGGAGGGAUGCUGGAAAGGCUGCCCAGAGAACCAGUAGUUGGGCUGGUAAUAAGUCUUCACAUUUCAAAUUCACCAAUAGAGGAGUUAAAAUUUUGAGAUGUAGGUUCCAGCAUUUUACUCCUGUGUAGCAAAAGUAGCCACCUGGUAUUAGAGGUCAUUUAAAAAAUAUGUGUGGCUCUGAAGAGGGAAGUGGUGUUUUGUGUUUUUGUUUUGCUUCUCCCAGAAAACCAAGGCAGAUCAUUGUUAUGAAGAUAAGAAGGUUCUUUUGGCUCUGGGAGAUUUGCUAGUAUGGUGUUGGUCAGUCAUUUUGCUGCCUUGCUUAUUCAGUAACUGUUUACCUCAUACAUACUUUGGGGACCAGCAUCGGGCUGGGUGUAUGGGGGAAAGUGAAGAAGGGGAAAAUAGCCCCUAGUCUAAAGCUUAUAAUCAGGAAUGGGGAGGAGAAAACCACCUUUCUCUGCAUCCUCUGGUAGCCCAGCCUCUUGACACUCCCCACACUGAGGUUCCCUGCCCUUCUGUUCUCAUAGAUCCUUAAAGACCGCUUGUCAGGUCUCCUGGGAGCUCUCUUACUGCCAGGCCACCUAGGAGCGCUGCCUUGUGCUCCUAAAGCAUCCUGAGCUGAUACCUCUCAUGACUAGAUUGUCACUGUGUAUGACUUUCUGUUCCAGACUGAGAUCCUUGAGGAUAGGAACUCAUUGGGAUGUGGCACAAAGUGGUGUCAACAAAUAUUUAUUGGCCAAUGCAAUAGAACUCUGGACACAGUAUGUUGCUUCUAUCUGGGUGGCCCUCCCUCCAGUCAGCCACUCCCGGAUCAGCAAAUUUCCUAUCGUAAGACAGAUGACAUUUACCCUUUCCCUGCUCUGUGGAUUGACAUUAUUCAUGGGUCCUUAUUCUUUGAUGUACAGUAAGGUCAUACUUGAAUGCUUCCGACAGAUUUAGAGAGCUUAAUACAAACUGUACUAGGAUUCUCAAAGUUAUUUUUCUUCUGGGUUAUGGUCCCUUCAUUUUGUGAUCCUCUGUUUAGAAGACAGCAAGAGAUGGAUGAAGAGAAGAGAGCUGUUUUUUUUUUUUUUUUUUUUUUUAUUUGAGACAGAGAGAAUGAGAGAGAGAGAGAGCACAUGAGAGGGGGGAGGGUCAGAGGCAGAAGCAGGCUCCCUGCCAAGCAGGGAGCCCAAUGCGGGACUCGAUCCAGGGACUCCAGGAUCAUGACCUGAGCCGAAGGCAGUCGCUUAACCAACUGAGCCACCCAGGCGCCCCGAGAGCUGUUUUUCAAUAUAAGACAGGUACUUUGUGAUCACUGAGCUUUAUUUUUAGAGACUUCUAAUUGUCCAGUGAUUUCCUACCCCAGGAGUGACUAGAAUUGACUUUAAGAGUGUUGAUUUAGUUUUUUUUUGUUUGUUUGUUUUUUUAAUCUUCCUGUAGGAAAAGGAUAUACCUUAAAAGAAUUUAAAGACCUAGAGAAGGCUGGGCUUUAUGCCAAAUUGCCCCAGUUCACUUUUACUCUACAUAGUGUUAUUCCAAAAGAGUGGCAUAAAACCUCUGCGAGAUCUGUGAUAAGCAGAACUCAUAGUAAAUGCAGAUAGGUUUGGGGAAGGCUGUCUGGACUCAGGGCCUGGAGGGUCUCCAUCCCCCACGGGGACCCUAUCGCAAUGCACUGCUUGACGUGCCUACCACUGGGAGGAAGAUGUUGAGAACAAGGUUAACUACCUACCUGCCAAGAUAGCAACCAGACCUGGGAGAAAAAAUACACCAAAGAUAUGCUGGGACCAUGCAGGAAUCAGUCCAUACCUUGCUACCCGAGGUUGGCAAAUUCCCUCAGCAGAGAAAAUAGACAGGGAUGGCUAGCUCAUUCUGAAAGAGUUCUCUCCUCUCUGAAAUUGUCCAAUGACUUUAAAAUUAGGAAUUUUUUUUCUAGGGGUAGUGGUAAAUAUCUGUUUUUCUAGUUGUUGCAGCAGGAGUAUUGGCCCGUGCAAACUUGUAAGUUCUACACAAAAAAAUAGAAGUCCUGUCAUGCUCUCUUGAUAUUUCCUUUUUGUCUCUCACUCUGAGUUUUGCUGGACUGAACAGUGCUGCUUUCUGUUUCCCCUUCUGAUUUGGAAAUUUUAUGUUUUGUUUCUGUUUUCUUGGCUUCUUUAUAAAUUUUAACAAUUUUAAUUUAAACAUUAAUAAUUAUAUAACUCCCUACCCCCCCAGUGAGACAAAGCCUUUAUUUCCUCAUUCCCCCACUUUCUUGCUCCUCAGCUCCUUUAGUCUGGUGUCCUCUAGUGAAUACUCCACCUUGCAGCUGGAGAAAUCUCUCUGAAAUGAUCAACCCUCUCCAACUGAAAACCCUUCAGUAGUUUUCCAUAACCCUUACAAUAACGUCCAGGCUCUUAACAUAGCACAUUAGAUGCUGUCUGGACCCUGCCACCCUUUCUGUCUUCAUCUACAAAAUCCCUUUCCCUUAAAGAAAAGACAUAUGAAUAAACUACAAAAAUAUCUGGGUCAAGUCAGCACCAUUAUAACUGCCUGAACUGCCACAUUGGUUCAUGCCUUUGCCCCUUCUUUUCAUUGCUGGCCAUCCCAAUCCAGGCAA